CAUUAAAUUUCCCUAAACCCAAGCCAUACAUCUCAUUUCUCUAGAACCUUCUCUCUCUCUGAUAUUUGCUCUCACUACCGAGCCUCCAUCUUUGAAACUCUCUCAACAGACCUCUAUGGCCGAGCCACUCAAGCACAUCACUUCAAGAUUAGCGCCGCCACCACCGGCGACAACUUGAUCCUCACCAAAGCUCUCACCGAGCUCUCUAUCUCUCACUCUAGGCUUGAGCUCUCCCUAAUCUCUGAAGCUCUCUCAACAUACCUCUAUGUCUAACCUCUGAGGUCCAUCCAUCUCAAAUCAUCAACCACCACCACUCCAUGGUAUUUCAUCCCUAGAUUCUCACUCUCUCUCUUUCUAAACCAAAGUUCAAACCCGAUCCGAGCCUAUCUCUCUGGACUUCGAUUUCAAUGGUGCCAAGGAAACGAAGCUUCCAAGCUCCACCGUGACAAACAGCAAGCACCACCACGACGGUGGCCUAUCAUCUCAGUCUAAAGCGAUGAUCCAAACUGAGCUCUCUUCUAAACCUGAACCAAAGUCUCAGAGUCUCUUCUACUUUUAAACCUAGCAACCACUCUCCGAUCUACAAGCUAAGAGCGCCUUGAAUGGCGUGUGAACCACAAGAAGUUGAUGUGGAGGUGAAGGGCCUCAAUGAUCUGCCAAGAACUAAGACCAUGGUAGCGUGUGGACUCACACGCGGUGGCGCAUGAACAAGCGUGUGCAAAACAAAGGAAAUCUUCACUGAAAAUGGCCGGUGGCUGGGCUUGUUCAUCUUCACCAAAAGCUCAAACCUUAGAUUGAUGUUUGAUCUACCAUUGAUAGAUCAAUUUGCUUGUUGUAUGAGAGACUAAGAGGUGAGAUUCUCAAAAACAGAGAACAGAAACAGAGGCAAAGAGGACGAGAGAAAGACAACUUCAGAAGAGAUCCACGUGUUUGUGUUUCUUAUUGCGUGGGGAUGAGAGAGAGUGCAUAUGGACCGUGUGAACCUGAUCGUGCGAUAUCUUUUGAUCCAAUGGUUCGAUUUAGAAACCGGAAACACUGUUGCGACCAUUAGAAUCUCAAGGUUAUUUUUGUGAUAUGCAAUGAAUGAAUUAAUGCAUACAAUGCAGGAAUAGAUUGAUGCAUGUGAUGCAAGAACAAAAUGAUGCAAGAAUGAUUUUUUUUUUUUUUUUUUUUUUUGUACAUGGAUGGUCACUCCAGUCAUCUUUCUUGAUUAAAUCAUGGUUGCAAAAUUGAGUGUCUACAGGAUUCUCCACUUUUUCUUUUUGUUCUUCUCUUUGCUUUGAUGCUUUUAGGUUAUUGUUGUUGUUUUUUUUUUAUUCUGAUCUUGUGUUUAUGGAUGCCUCUGUUGGGGUUGAGGGUUUAGCUACAAAGAAAACACAAUAAACAAGUUAGAUUCAAACUAAAGCAAAACCCAAAGAAAUUAUUCAAGAAAUGAGUGAGAAGAAGCUCAUGGUUGUGUUUAGAUUCUCUGUUGAUGUUCUGAAUCUGCUUCUUUUGGAUUUCUUUUCUCUUUGAGUUUUCUGUGGGUUCAAAGGGUUAUUUUUUCUAGGUUUUUGAAUGGCUUUAUCUGAGUUUUUCAAACUGUCUUUGGGUUGCUUUUUUGGGUAUUUUGGGGGAGUUGUUUCUAGUUUUCCUUUUGAAGAAUCUCCUGGAUCUAUUGUGGGGGUUCUUGGAUGAGAGAAUGAUAAGGGAGGUGGGAAGAGAUGGGGGAGAGGCAGAAAGGAUGUCCA